ACAAUGAGGACUUACUGUGAGGAAACAUCUAGCUUCAGCACCAGUGGUUGUCGGGAGUCUUGAGAAUGGUCCUUGCCUUCUUUGCAAAAUUUAGUUCCAACAGAUUUAAUAAAAGAGCAGGACUUGGAAGAAGCAUUCAGAGGUAUGGUCAGGCCCUGCUCAUCUAGAACCCUGCUCGGAUCCAAUUCAGCUAUAGUAAUGCUCUGCAGAGUAUAUGAGCCUCCGCGCUGAAGAUGAUUGAAUCAGAAGUGGACAAUGGCCCAACCUCAACCUCCUCUCCUCUUUGGGAAAUACCUAAGCUGUGGUUGUGUCUAGAACCGCGAUCCCUUGCCAGCUGUCUUCUUCCUCUUCCGCUCAAGAGGAAGCUGCCUUUUUCCAGGUUAAGUGGAGAAUAUGUUCUCAAGGGAAAUGCUUUGCUGUCAGCCCAUAGGGUCAGGCUUCUGACAGAUUAUGUGGCCGAUUUGUCACUCACUGCCAAGAUUUUAAAAGUGUCUAUCGCAGAGUAUGCUUUGCACAUCUGUUGUAUUAUAAGCACAGUGUUAGCUCUCUCCGAAGCUGUCAAGAUAGGAGGAUGUUGCUGUGUUCUCUGAAACAGCCCCUCUGGGUGAUUUUUAAAUGGCAGAGUGUUGGGAUUCUGAAAUGAGGUGAGAUCCCAGAAGAACUAACAAAAACAUUGAAUGAAUAAGUCUGUCCUCCAACAUUAGCUGAGUGUUCAGUGUGCCCAGCAUUCUAGCAAUAUAGUCCAUGUCUAUUACAUCAUAAAUAUUAUGUCCAAGUCCUUUUAAAAUUGCUUUAACGUCUUAAACUAGUAACGGAAAAUAAAUGGGUAAAAAUGGUGGUAUGUUUCUGAUGAGACUUCUAGGCAUGUUUGUAAAAUGAGUUUAGGUGCCUGAAGGAAUAAAUAUUUAAAGUAUAAACAGUAAAGUCUUGAUACAUUUCUUUACUGAUACUUACAACUGGGGGCAGGGGAUCAAACAGGGUUAAGGUAAAAGGGAGUGUGGAGGACCAUGAGAUGUACCCAGGGAUCCUCUUUCCAUGACUGUUACGCUCCCUGCUGGGAGUGCUGUUGGCAGAUAACCUUCCCUAUCAGCCCCCUGGGGUUGCCUCACCAAAGGCACGCCCCUUCCCAGGGCAGCCCAUGUCCCGUGGCUAGUUGAGGC